AUGAUCACCAUCGCCAUCACCAUCAUCACCACCAUCAACCAUCACUAUCAUCACCAUCACCAUCAUCACCAUCACCAUCAUUGCCACCAUCACCAUCAUCACCAUCACCAUCAUCACCAUCACCAUCAUUGCCACCAUCACAUCACCAUCACUAUCACCAUGAUCACCAUCACCAUCACCAUGAUCACCAUCACCAUCACCAUCAUCACCAUCACCAUCAUCACCAUCAACCAUCACCACCAUCAUCACCAUCAUCACCAUCACCACCAUCACCAUCAUCACCAUCACCACCAUCAUCAUCACCGGCAUCACCAUCAACACCAUCGUCUCCACCGCCUCCACCAUUGCCACCACCAUCACUGUCAUCACCACCAUCAUCACCCUCACCACCAUCCUCACCAUCACCAUCAUCAUCUCCAUCAUCACCACCACCAUCACCACCACCGUCACCGUCACCAUAACCCUCACCACAUAGCACGCACGGUGGCAAGUCCACUGGCUCUGUGUCAGACGCCCCUUUCAACACUUUACACACAUCAUUCUAGUGACUCAUCACGACCCCGUGAGGCAGUUUCUAUAUGUCACCCCCGGGCUUCCCAGGAGCAAGUUGGAGCUCAGACCAGAGAUGCGAUUUGCCCAAAGUCACGCGGCUGCCAGGCGCAGCCCACGGCCGCACGUUGCCGAGCGCAGAGGCCGUCUGUUGCGCAGCUUGGGGGGGGGGGUCUCGCUGUGGCCCUGGGGAUGUGUCAGGGGGUUUUGGGGGGAGCGGAAGCAAGCAAGGACCUCUGGAGAGCAAGCAGGGUGGGAUGGGGCGGGGGCAGUGGUCAGACCGGUCGGCAGGACGAGAGGGCCGUGCUGCAGGGUUUUCUUGGCUCCUGGGCCUCAGGGCAGAACGCCAAGCCCCCUCAGAAGAGCCGGUCCUACCCUGGUUGUGCCCCAAGCUCUCUCUCCCUCUCUGGGCCUCAGUUUCUUCAUCUGCAGAGUGAAGAGUCUGGACCGGACUGCCCCCAAGAGUCUUUCUGCGCUAACAUUCUCAGGUGCUGA
rnacentral:lncRNA from 1 species